UUUUGUUUGGGAAAACUGAAACCUAAACAAUUUGUGUGGGACCCUCCCCAAGGUUCCAGAAGCUAUAAACAACUGCUAGAGGAGGAGUCGACUUGGAGCAGCUGGGCUGCUUAGAGGAGAUUUGAGAUUCCGGCAAACCAUGCAGAGAGCUCCAGGGUUACAGCUUUCAUGAGUCGUCAUCCAUGCAGGGGUCGGCCUGCAAUGAUGGAGCUGCCUUUGACUUAUCCUGGCUUUUCAAGGGGUCAGAAUUCUAGCCAACUGGAACUCUCUUACCCAGGAAGUUCUCACUUGGCUGAUAUAAAGAAGUCCCAUUAUCCCUUUGCUACCAGAGAAGUGGUAGUUGUGAAACUACCAUGAUGACAAAAACUACUCACAUGGGACGACAAUGAAGAAAGAGAAAGAAUUUGGAAGCUUUCAGAAGUAUUGACCAGAUUUGGCCUGUUUUGUUUUGUUUUAUGAAAGAAAGUAAAAGAAGAGAAGGGAAAAAGAAAAUGACUCAAUUUGGCUAAUUGGGCUUCUAUUACAAUUGGCCAAACACAGUCUGUAGUGAUACACUGGCUUCCUCUGAGUCCUUGAUUGAAAUAACGGGAAGCCACACAGCAGAGGCCAGCUUCUCUUGAGAUGAAUCUAUGCUGUCUGGCUAUAAAAUUCACCAACCAUCUUCCUACUCAGCCCUCAAGGUGCACUGUGUCUACCUAGACGGCCUAGGUAGAAGAGUUGUCUUCUAAAACUCCAAUCUACUCUGCCCCCAGCCUCCCCUGAUUUCUCAGAUUAGUAAUGCCAUCCCAAAACAGUCUGCAGGGAGUCCUGUCUUCCCUGUGGUGCACACAUGUGAUUGCAGGAAAAACACCCAUCCCCAUAAAACUGAAAUAAAACAAUCUUUUGGUUUACUAAAAUAAACCAAAAAAAAAAAAAAAGUUUCAUGUGGGUGGUCCAUACUCUCUUGUGAAGUCACUAUUUCCCUUCUUGAGUACCACCUUUUUUUCAUCCUACUGUGCCUGAUCUGGGUUCAAAAAUGCCCCCAGAUUUGUGUGUGUGUCUUUUUCCCUCUUCCUGCUUAUCUGGAUGUUUACUGGUGGCAUUGUGUGUGUGUGUGUGUGUGUGUGUGUGUGUAUGUGUAAGGGAAAGUGUCUUAUUUUCUAAUAAAGGGGGUGGAGGCUAACUGCAGCUUCAAAGAUGCCAAUCCACAAAGGAGCACUUUAACCAUCAGGAAACAAAGCUACCAAGAUACAGCUGCAGUUUCCUUGGUUACCUCACAUCCUAUUCUUUGUCUACUGGGUCAAGAUGAACCUAACCACUGAAGGGGUAGUUGUACAGGGCACCGUCUCAUUCCUGCUCAUGUCUGCCUAGCUACUCACAGUAACAGUGCCCUCCACUGUUCUGUUCUUAUUUUAAGCAGUGCAGAUGCGUCCUGCUUGGCUGAGUCUCCUGACCCUCGUGCACAUUCAGGAAAGCUAAGACAUGAAUAUUGGUGCAUUAGUACCAACCGCACACCAGGCUAUUUAGCUCUCAUCAUUUUCUCCCUGUCAUUUCAAGAUCAGCCUAGGAUCCCACAUUGCAUUUAAUCUUCAUUCAUGCUUAGUUUCAUUCUUCAGGGUACGUCUAACUUUUUUUCCUCCUUUCUCAUCCCAAUUAUUAGGUUUUGAACUAGAAAAUUCUCUCUGGGAGCUGGAGAAAUGAUCCGGUGGUUAAGAAUGCAUUCUUUUGUAGAGGACCUGAGUUCAGAUCCCAGUGCCCUCACUGGGUAAUUCAAAACCACCUCUAACUACAGCUCCAGGAACUCUGGAGUCCUCUUCUGGCCUCUGAGGACACUGUGUUAACAUGCACAUGGUUUGAAUAAAUUAAAAAAAAAAAACUUUUAAAAGAAAGGUCCGUUUCCCUGUUAUUUUCUUUAGUUUAUAAGGCAGCCAAGUUUUUCUUUAAAUAUAUUCUCUUUAAAGAGCCUAUCCCAUUGGAUGGGGGCAGAAAUCAUUCGUUAGAAAUCUGAGGCUCCCCAUAGUCCCUGGACUCAACAAACGUGGUGAAGUGUUCAUUUGCAGCCAUGUUUCACCACUGCUCCCCCUAUCGGUCCAAAGGAGGUCUUAAGUGAAAGUCUCGGAGAUUUCCCUUCAUCUUAUGUCUAAAAGUCUGUGCCUUUGAACAAAACAUUUGACAGGAGCUAGGAUGCUGGGCCUGACGCCAAGAGUGAGUCUGAGCCUGGGGAUCCAGCCAACGCCCCAGUGACGGCACUCUAGGGGAUCUGGAAAGAGAGGAAGCUGGGUUGGAUAUCACAUUGCAUCUUUGUGGGAUUAAGAGAAAAACAGCAACAAAAAUCAGCCCCAUGAAGUUAAUGGACCUUUAAUAGGAUUAAAAGGAAGCAAGAGUGAACAGAACCCCUCUUCUGUGAUGCACCGAGCCACUACAAACAGAAGCACCAGGACUAGUGACCAUGGACUGAGACCUCUGAAUUCCUGAGCCAAAAGCCCUCAUCCAGUGGCUGAUGGAAGCAGAGACAGACAUCCACAGAUAUACACUGAGCUGAAAUCGGGAAUUUAGUUGAAGAAAGGGAGGAAUCAAGAGCGAAGGGGUCUGUACCAGGUUGGAGAAACCCACAGGAACAAUUGGCCUGAACAAGGGAGAGCACAUGGACCCCAGAUGCUGUCCGGGAGGCCAGUACAAGACUGAUCCAGACCCCUGAACAUGGAUGUCAAUAAGGAGGCCUCUGCACUCCAGGGAGCCUCUGGUAGUGGAUUAGUAUUUUUCCCUGGUGCAAGAAGGGACUUUGAGAGCCCAUCCCACGUGAAGGGUUACACUCUGGCCCUGGACACAUGGGGAAGGGCCCAGGACCACCACAGGAAGAUUUGGUGGACUUUGCAGAGCCCCCUUUGAGGGUCCUACCCUGCCUGGGGAGUGGUGGGUGG
ensembl:lncRNA